CAUUAAAACACCAGUUCCCGUGCGAUCACAGAAGUUAAGCGACGUCAAGCCUGGUCAGUACCUAGAUGUCUGACUGCUUGGGAAUACCACUAGCUGUU